UUAAUACCUCGUUAGGUGAGGCUCCUAUACAGAUACAGGCUGCUGCCCGGAAACAUCGAGAGAUGGUAACGGGUGAACAGGCAUUACCGAAUCAAGGUUUUGCCUAAUGCAGCUGGAGUUUUCUCCAAAGCUGUAUAGUGCCAAAGCUCAACGAAGGAAAUUGGAU
rnacentral:sRNA from 2 species